CCUCCAUAAAAAGCUUCUAACUUUUUUUACAAGCAUGAACAAGUUUAA
rnacentral:tRNA from 1 species